rnacentral:ncRNA from 1 species
AGUGGAUCCUGAGUACGGCGGGACACGUGAAAUCCCGUCGGAAGCUGGGAGGACCAUCUCCCAAGGCUAAAUACUACCUAGUGACCGAUAGUGAACCAGUACCGUGAGGGAAAGGUGAAAAGCACCCCGGGAGGGGAGUGAAAUAGAACCUGAAACCGUGUGCCUACAAGUAGUCAGAGCCCGUUAACKGGGUGAUGGCGUGCCUUUUUGUAGAAUGAACCGGCGAGUUACGAUYSCAUGCRAGGUUAAGUYGAAWRAGACGGAGCCGCAGCGAAAGCGAGUCUGAACAGGGCGAAUGAGUAUGUGGUCGUAGACCCGAAACCAGGUGAUCUACCCCAUGUCCAGGWUGAAGUYCAGGUAACACUGAAUGGAGGACCGAACCCACGCACGUUGAAAAGUGCGGGGAUGAGGUGUGGGUAGCGGAGAAAUUCCAAUCGAACUUGGAGAUAGCUGGUUCUCUCCGAAAUAGCUUUAGGGCUAGCCUCACGAAUAACGAGUCUUGGAGGUAGAGCACUGUUUGGACUAGGGGSCCUCAUCGGGUUACCGAAUUCAGACAAACUCCGAAUGCCAAGUACUCAAGCGUGGGAGUCAGACUGCGAGUGAUAAGAUCCGUAGUCAAAAGGGAAACAGCCCAGACCACCAGCUAAGGUCCCAAAGUAUACGUUAAGUGGAAAAGGAUGUGGAGUUGCUUAGACAACCAGGAUGUUGGCUUAGAAG